CUAUAGUAAGAGGGCCGGUGCAAGCCGGCUAUGACACUAAACCCCACGCGGAAUAAGCGUUGCGGACCCGGGGGCGGUACCCGGCGCCUCCACCAGUCCCGAUCCCUUGGGCCCCAUCCCUUGGAAUCGGCCUCGGGGGCGAAAUAGGAUCGACGUGCGUGGUAAAGGCCUGGGUUGUGUUCGGCAUGGUACCACCGUUAUCGGACCAACUCUGACAAGUGCCAACGAUAACGUUGAACUUGCCGCUGCGGCCUAAAAAUCCGUAAGCGCGGUUCGGGGGGGCACCGGGCAACAGAAGCCCCCCCACUUCUCCCCCUGCUCUCCAAACAAGAACCCUGCUCCCUCGG
rnacentral:tmRNA from 1 species